GCAAGUCGAACGGUAGCACAGAGAGCUUGCUCUCGGGUGACGAGUGGCGGACGGGUGAGUAAUGUCUGGGAAACUGCCUGAUGGAGGGGGAUAACUACUGGAAACGGUAGCUAAUACCGCAUAACGUCGCAAGACCAAAGAGGGGGACCUUCGGGCCUCUUGCCAUCAGAUGUGCCCAGAUGGGAUUAGCUAGUAGGUGGGGUAACGGCUCACCUAGGCGACGAUCCCUAGCUGGUCUGAGAGGAUGACCAGCCACACUGGAACUGAGACACGGUCCAGACUCCUACGGGAGGCAGCAGUGGGGAAUAUUGCACAAUGGGCGCAAGCCUGAUGCAGCCAUGCCGCGUGUAUGAAGAAGGCCUUCGGGUUGUAAAGUACUUUCAGCGGGGAGGAAGGUGUUGUGGUUAAUAACCGCAGCAAUUGACGUUACCCGCAGAAGAAGCACCGGCUAACUCCGUGCCAGCAGCCGCGGUAAUACGGAGGGUGCAAGCGUUAAUCGGAAUUACUGGGCGUAAAGCGCACGCAGGCGGUCUGUCAAGUCGGAUGUGAAAUCCCCGGGCUCAACCUGGGAACUGCAUUCGAAACUGGCAGGCUAGAGUCUUGUAGAGGGGGGUAGAAUUCCAGGUGUAGCGGUGAAAUGCGUAGAGAUCUGGAGGAAUACCGGUGGCGAAGGCGGCCCCCUGGACAAAGACUGACGCUCAGGUGCGAAAGCGUGGGGAGCAAA
rnacentral:rRNA from 1 species